rnacentral:tRNA from 1 species
GGUCGGGUAGCUCAGUCGGUAGAGCAGAGGACUGAAAAUCCUCGUGUCGGCGGUUCGAUUCCGUCCCCGACCA